rnacentral:rRNA from 1 species
UACGUAGGGGGCAAGCGUUGUCCGGAAUCAUUGGGCGUAAAGAGCGUGUAGGCGGCCCGGUAAGUCCGCUGUGAAAGUCCAGGGCUCAACCCUGGGAUGCCGGUGGAUACUGUCGGGCUCGAGUCCGGAAGAGGAGUGUGGAAUUCCUGGUGUAGCGGUGAAAUGCGCAGAUAUCAGGAAGAACACCAAUGGCGAAGGCAGCUCUCUGGGA